GUAACCAACAGGAACAGAAAGGGUUAAGAGCAUCACCCACUCCCCACCUGCUCAUCUUUCACUUCCUCCCUCUGAGCUAGGAAACUAUGGGGACCUGACCUAAGUAGGACUUGUGGUCUCAGGCCAGAGCUGUCUUCAACCACAAGACUGGGGAGAUGAGCAAUUGACAGGAUCAGGUUUGAACUUACUCUUAAUGAUCUUUCUUGGACAGAGCUGUCCUUUAGAGUGAGCUUUAGAAAGAGAAGAGAGGUCAGAAGUCACAAUGAACCAGCCACUCCUACAGGAGCUCACAGGAAGUCCACACAGCACCAGAGAAGCUCUGGGACAGAAGCAAGGAAAUGAAGUGGAGUGUGGAGUUAGGGCGACCAUAGAACUCUCUGAUAGCUAGCCUACUGCAGAGAAGGCUGCUGUAGUGGCUAUUCCUGGUUGUCAACUUGACAAUAUUUGGAAUGAACUACAAUCCGGAGUUGGAAGGCUCACCAGUGACCAUUAUCUGGAGGCUUGGAGAUCCUUAUCUGGAUCUUGGUUUGAAGAUUUUGAGCCAUAGUGGCUAUGGAUUCCAGAAGAUAGAAUCUCUGAGUUUAAGGAACACACCUUUAAUCUGGGCUAUGCCUUUCAUCUGGGAUUAAAGGUGUGGUGGAACACACCUUUAAUCUGGGCUAUGCCUUUCAUCUGGGAUUAAAGGUUUGGUGGAACACACCUUUAAUCUGGGCUACACCUUCUGCUGGAGACAAUAUAAGGACAUUGGAAGAAGGGAGUCUAGAUCUUGCUCCUUCGCCUGCUUGCUGCGUGAGACUGAAUAACUGCUAGAUCCUUGGACUUCCAUUCACAGCUGCGACUGAACAAUUGUUGGGAAUUGGGCUGCCGACUCCUGACUCCCCGCGGGACUUCCAAGGCAGCAUAACUUCAGGUCCAGACUGGGCUGUCAGGCUUUUCCAGGAAGGAUCCAGGAACCCCUUAACUAAUCCAGGCAGUGACCUGGGAGAACUCGGGAGAACCCGUGGCAGCCCCCAGCAUCCAGAAUUUGGGGACAGUGUCCAGUGCCUAUUCCCGAGGUUGGACCUUGCAAGUGUCCACGGUGGGCGGUGCCGUUAUCAUCUUCCAACACUUGC